rnacentral:rRNA from 1 species
AGCAGCCGCGGUAAUACGGAGGAUCCGAGCGUUAUCCGGAUUUACUGGGUGUAAAGGGAGCGUAGACGGCGAAGCAAGUCUGGUGUGAAAACCCGGAGCGCAACCCCGGGCCUGCAUUGGAAACUGUUUUGCUUGAGUGCCGGAGAGGUAAGCGGAAUUCCUAGUGUAGCGGUGAAAUGCGUAGAUAUUAGGAGGAACACCAGUGGCGAAGGCGGCUUACUGGACGGUAACUGACGUUGAGGCUCGAAAGCGUGGGGAGCAAACAG